rnacentral:rRNA from 1 species
ACAGCCCUACGGGGGGCAGCAGUGAGGAAUAUUGGUCAAUGGCCGAGAGGCUGAACCAGCCACGUCGCGUGAGGGAUGACGGCCCUACGGGUUGUAAACCUCUUUUGUCGGGGAGCAAGACCCGCCUCGUGCAGGCGGAGCGAGAGUACCCGAAGAAAAAGCAUCGGCUAACUCCGUGCCAGCAGCCGCGGUAAUACGGAGGAUGGGAGCGUUAUCCGGAUUUAUUGGGUUUAAAGGUUGCGCGGUCGGACCCUCAAGUCAGAGGUAAAAUCGUGGGGCCCAACCCCCUCCCGCCGUUGAAACUG